rfam:Gossypium raimondii Chr08_contig_65, whole genome shotgun sequence.
CACGUCAGCGCGACCUGCUGACGUGGAAUGAAAUCGCUUCCUCAAGGACGCGAUUUCCUUCCACGUCAGCAGGUCGCGCUGACGUGG